UGUCGAAACGGCCUGAUUGUCUAGGCCGUCCGCAACGGGGUAGCCGCCUUGCGCUGAUGAGAUAGGCUAAU
rnacentral:hammerhead_ribozyme from 1 species